ACUAUGGACGAUCCUGACGAUGACGAGGAAAAAGCGGAGAAAUUAGCUCUAGCUGUCGCAUGCACGUUUCGCGCUCGGGACUUGCCAGACAAGAACCACAGCAACGUGAAACAUAAUACAAGUUGCACCAGCCAGUCCUAAGCUCAGCCAUGCGAAGCAGCCAGCGGCUAAGAAACGCGACGUAC